rnacentral:rRNA from 1 species
GAUGAACGCUGGCGGCGUGCCUAAUACAUGCAAGUCGAGCGAAUGGAUUAAGAGCUUGCUCUUAUGAAGUUAGCGGCGGACGGGUGAGUAACACGUGGGUAACCUGCCCAUAAGACUGGGAUAACUCCGGGAAACCGGGGCUAAUACCGGAUAACAUUUUGAACCGCAUGGUUCGAAAUUGAAAGGCGGCUUCGGCUGUCACUUAUGGAUGGACCCGCGUCGCAUUAGCUAGUUGGUGAGGUAACGGCUCACCAAGGCAACGAUGCGUAGCCCACCUGAGAGGGUGAUCGGCCACACUGGGACUGAGACACGGCACAGACUCCUACGGGAGGCAGGAGUAGGGAAUCUUCCGCAAUGGACGAAAGUCUGACGGAGCAACGCCGCGUGAGUGAUGAAGGCUUUCGGGUCGUAAAACUCUGUUGUUAGGGAAGAACAAGUGCUAGUUGAAUAAGCUGGCACCUUGACGGUACCUAACCAGAAAGCCACGGCUAACUACGUGCCAGCAGCCGCGGUAA